UAAGAUGUUCUAACUUUUUUGUAAAUAGGAUGGAUAUAGACACAUUUUAGUGUGUUUGUUCAUUCAUUUCUGUCUGUAUGUAGUCUAUAUUGGAAUAUCCAAAACAUCUUAUAAUUAUGAACCGAGGGAGUACAUAACUGUGUUGAUAUUGUACAAUUGAAACUUGACUCUAUGCUGUAGAUGUCUUAUGAUUUUACAUUAUGAGAAAAUAAUAAGUUUAUUAAGACAUAAUUGUACAAGCUUUAUAUAUAUUACGAUAUGAUUCUACAUCGUGGGAAAAUAAGUUUUGAAUAUCAUACUUCUAAUGUUCCUCAUUAAAAAAAUAUUUAUUAUAGUGUUAAUUCUUUAAAAUGUAAGGGCAUGUUUUGUUAUGAUGAUAUGUAGGAAUAGACACAAGAAUAAGGUAGAAAUGCGUGUGAUAAGAAAACAUAGGAAUUUUGUCAACGGUAUUUGGUUCACAAAACUCGGGAUUAUUAAUAAAAAUGUGGUCAAAUCUAGGAUGCUAUUAUGCAAUUAAAGACCUCUGUAGUAGGAGUUUGGAAAAUGAGGUCCAGAUGGUUUUUGCGGGGAUGUUGUACAUUGCAGAGUAAGUGUGACAGUUGUAGGAACUUGGUCAUUUUAGUUCUACAUGCCUAUUAUUUUCCAUCAUUGCAAAAUAAACCACUCAUACUUUUUAUCUCUUGAUUUAUGAACUGGUUUGGGAGCGAUGCACAUUCUUACCACUCAUGUUCAAGUAUUUAUGGCUUCGGUGCUAAUGAAAUGUGCAGUUCUGUGUUAGUAUUUUAUUUUGUGUUACUUUUACCCUAAAAGUGUAAGAAGGGCCGUGUCUUCAAUUAUUUUUUUGUUUAUAUAGAUGUAGCCGUACCGCUUGGUAGAUAGAAAAGUUAGGAGCAAUAUGCUGUAGGUAUUAGCAUAGCAGAUGUAUGUUUCCAUCGUUUCAUGAGUUGACAGUCACCAUUUUUUCUUGUUAUUACAUGUUGCGUAUAGUUGUAUCUGUUAUACAACUUCCACGUUCAUCAUUGGAAAUAUAGUUGUCUGUUAAACAUCUCUAUGGCCCUUUUGUAUAACCUGACCUUAUAUAAACAGGUGGUCUAGCUGUGAAUAUUUGCUUUUUUCUCUCUUUUAAAGCAUGUUUAAAAUUUUUCCAAUUUCUGUGACAUUAUUUUGCCUCAAAAGCAAAUGAGGUGCAUCGAAUCUGACUAGCAGUUUGAAGUUCAUAUUAACUAUACAGAAGUAUAGGAGGGUAGCUUAAUUAUUUUAUCAUGUUGUGUUGAAAUAUUUAUUUAUGCGAUGAGCCUCACAGAAAGUUAUUAUAUGCAAGCUAGCACGAGGCGUGAUGGUGUUUCCUCCUUCACCUCAAAUAUGUGCAACUAGAUGAGGCCAGCAUGAGGUGUGUUGGCGUUUCCUCCUUCACCUCAAAUAUGUGCAACUAGAUGAGCGCCGGGAGGCCAUGGGAGUCGCGGUCGCACACAAACCUGUUAUGAGCCUUUCGGCCGCGCAUCCUUGUUGCCGCCAGGAGUGCCGAAGCACGACGGGCAGACAAUGUGUGUCCUCUGCUCACGUC